UUACGGCCAUAUAGCGUUAAAAUACUGGUUGCCAUACGAUCACCGAAGUUCAGCAACGCCGAGCCUGAUAAGUAGCAAGAUGGGUGACCGCUUGGGAAUACCAGGUGCUGUAA